CAGAGUUACAACUCCCAAACCCAUGUGAACUUAUACCUAUACUGUUGCCUCGGCGGCAUCUAGCCCGCGACCCGCGUAAACAGGGACGGCCCGGCCCGAGCGGACAACCAUAAACUCUUGUUAGUGGCACUUAGUGAGUAAACUGAACGUCUUAUUAAUAAGUCA
rnacentral:misc_RNA from 1 species